AUUGAACGCUGGCGGCAGGCCUAACACAUGCAAGUCGAACGGUAGCACAGAGAGCUUGCUCUUGGGUGACGAGUGGCGGACGGGUGAGUAAUGUCUGGGAAACUGCCCGAUGGAGGGGGAUAACUACUGGAAACGGUAGCUAAUACCGCAUAACGUCGCAAGACCAAAGUGGGGGACCUUCGGGCCUCACACCAUCGGAUGUGCCCAGAUGGGAUUAGCUAGUAGGUGGGGUAAUGGCUCACCUAGGCGACGAUCCCUAGCUGGUCUGAGAGGAUGACCAGCCACACUGGAACUGAGACACGGUCCAGACUCCUACGGGAGGCAGCAGUGGGGAAUAUUGCACAAUGGGCGCAAGCCUGAUGCAGCCAUGCCGCGUGUAUGAAGAAGGCCUUCGGGUUGUAAAGUACUUUCAGCGAGGAGGAAGGCAUUAAGGUUAAUAACCUUAGUGAUUGACGUUACUCGCAGAAGAAGCACCGGCUAACUCCGUGCCAGCCGCCGCGGUAAUAC
rnacentral:rRNA from 1 species